GUGCUUGCUUCAGUAGCACAUAUACUAAAAUUGGAACAAUACAGAUUAGCAUGGCCCAUGCACAAGGAUGGCAUACAAAUUUGUAAAAUAUUAAGAAAAAAU
ensembl:snRNA U6 U6 spliceosomal RNA